rnacentral:sRNA from 1 species
AUUAAAAUAAUAAAAUAAUUAAUACUGGAAAAUAAAAACAUAUUCCGGGAAAAGGUACGUUUAAUAUUUUUUGUGUAAAUAUUAUUAAUAAUUCGAUAUAUAUAAUAAAGAAAUUUCGGAUAGAUUUCCACCUGGGCGUUUUAAUUUAAUUAUAAUACUUCAAUUACCGCAAAUGUUUUUAAAUGGGAAGUUAUCCGUUAUAUAAGAUAUUAUUGGAAAAAAUAGAAAUUUGCCGCAUUUAUUUGCAAAGAAAUUUAUAUAAAGGAUUCAUAUAAACGUUAUAGGCUUUUAGGCCGCAUUUAUUUUAUUUUAUAAAAAAGGAGAGAAAUUUAAAACUUUGCGCCGAUUGUUGCAAAUUAAGCGCCCUAAUUCGAAAAAACUUUUGGUUGUUAUUUUUAAUUGAAAAAAUAAUAUCACGUAUUACUUGCGCAAAAUCUUUUACAAAAAUUAACAUAUGAUAACUAUUUUACCAGAUCCGUAUAAAUUUGAAAUUAUUGGAACUUUGUAAUUUUUCUAACCUAAUACGGUAUUUAUAAAUAUAAUUUAUUACGGUUAAGAUUAAUUAACGGACCAACCAUUCUCUAAAAGUUUGUCAACGAAAUUUUGCCUAAUAAUUUGUAUAAUUUCUAUUCGGUUUAUAUAAAUAAUAUUUAGGUUUAAUAAAACAAGUUCGGAAAGUACCAGAAAUAUAUGUAACAAAUAUUUAAAUGGGUCCGUAAAAUGAAAUUGUAAUCCAAUAUGAAAAAAUGCAAAUUUUGUAUAUAAUAAAUAAAAGUUUUGGAGUUUUUAAUUAAUAUUAACAAAAUUGCCGUCGAUUUAAAAAAAAUCAAAUAAUUAAAAAUUUAAAAAAGUUUACGACCGUUAAACAAAUACAGGUUUCCUUUAAAAUGUUGCAAUUUUUGCCGGAAAUUAAUCCCCAAAUCUAACCGGAGAGUAAUAUUUUGUAUUUUACUAAUUUGAAAAAACAAAAAGUUUGCUUAGGUCGCCGCUUGUUAAAUAAUAUUUAACCGAUUAAGAAUAUUGUUUUUAAAAACGCUGACUUUUAAAUAUUGUAGCCGAAAAUAAUAACCCGGGGUCGAAAUCGAUGUUUCGGGGGUAAUAACAGCCGGUUUCUUUUAUUUAAAAUAGAACAACGGGUAAUAUUAAAUUCUUUUUUUAAAGAUCAGAUUAUUAAGCGAGUUUAUUUAUUCCAUUUAUAAUAAAAGGAGUUGGCAAUGGUUUGGAUAUUUGAAUUUUGGCGGGUAAAACUUAUAAAAGAAUCUAAAUUCGAGAUGAUAACCGAUUAUAAUAUAUUGAACUAUUUUUUGACAUGAUAAUUUUUAAACGUUUUAUAAACCAUUUGGAUUAAUUUUUCUACCCGAUAUAACUUCGAAAUUAUAUAUGAAUUAAAAAAACAAAAACGGAAUAAUUAAUAUUUUAGCUGAAAAACUAGCAAAUUUAAGCAAUUAAAAAGCCAAAAUGGAAAUAAGACGCUAUAUAAUUAUUUUCGACCAAUUUAUAACGCGGGGCGCGGUUUUUGAAAGAUUAAUUAUUUGGACGGUAUAAUAUUAUUAAUUAAAUCCGAAUAUUUAUCGACGGAAAACGGGUUUUAGUAAAAAAAAAAGAUUUAGCGGACUGGUUAUUAGUUUUUAACCUCGGAAAACCUAAAUUGGCCGUUUACCGUACCCGACAUCCCGAAGACAUACAAAGUUUUAUUUAUUUAAUAAUAAAUAUAUUUUAUACCGGAACUGUUUGGUAAUUUUGUAAUAAUAAGGUAACUAAAGUAAUUUGCGAAACAUAUUAGCAAAUAUUUAUAUAUUAUUUUUGAGAAAUUGAAUUUGGAAAACUAAUAUUUUCGCGUUUUAAACAGGCCAAAUAAAAUAAACGCCGACGGCGACCGUUAUACAAUUAUUUGCAAAUACUUUUUCUGGAAGUUUGAAAAAAUUAAAUACCAAAUUUAUUACAAUUAUUACCUUUUUUAGCAGAGAAUAUAUAUAAUUAUAGUACACUUUAAUAAUAUACCCAAAUUCUAGUAAAAAUAUAAUAAUAUAUUAGUUAUA